rnacentral:rRNA from 1 species
UACGUAGGGUGCGAGCGUUGUCCGGAAUUACUGGGCGUAAAGAGCUCGUAGGUGGUUUGUCGCGUUGUCCGUGAAAACUCACAGCUUAACUGUGGGCGUGCGGGCGAUACGGGCAGACUUGAGUACUGCAGGGGAGACUGGAAUUCCUGGUGUAGCGGUGGAAUGCGCAGAUAUCAGGAGGAACACCGGUGGCGAAGGCGGGUCUCUGGGCAGUAACUGACGCUGAGGAGCGAAAGCGUGGGGAGCGAACAGG